AUUGAACGCUGGCGGCAUGCUUUACACAUGCAAGUCGAACGGUAACAGGGUGCUUGCACCGCUGACGAGUGGCGAACGGGUGAGUAAUGCGUCGGAACGUGCCGAGUAGUGGGGGAUAACGCAGCGAAAGUUGUGCUAAUACCGCAUACGUACUGAGGUAGAAAGUGGGGGACCUUCGGGCCUCACGCUAUUCGAGCGGCCGACGUCUGAUUAGCUAGUAGGUGAGGUAAAGGCUCACCUAGGCGACGAUCAGUAGCGGGUCUGAGAGGAUGAUCCGCCACACUGGGACUGAGACACGGACCAGACUCCUACGGGAGGCAGCAGUGGGGAAUUUUGGACAAUGGGCGAAAGCCUGAUCCAGCCAUGCCGCGUGUCUGAAGAAGGCUUUCGGGUUGUAAAGGACUUUUGUCAGGGAGGAAAUCCCUAGUGCUAAUAACACUGGGGGAUGACAGUACCUGAAGAAUAAGCACCGGCUAACUACGUGCCAGCCGCCGCGGUAA
rnacentral:rRNA from 1 species